rnacentral:rRNA from 1 species
UACGUAGGGUGCAAGCGUUAAUCGGAAUUACUGGGCGUAAAGCGUGCGCAGGCGGUUGUGCAAGACCGAUGGGAAAGCCCCGGGCUUAACCUGGGAAUGGCAUUGGUGACUGCACGGCUAGAGUGUGUCAGAGGGGGGUAGAAUUCCACGUGUAGCAGUGAAAUGCGUAGAGAUGUGGAGGAAUACCGAUGGCGAAGGCAGCCCCCUGGGAUAACACUGACGCUCAUGCACGAAAGCGUGGGGAGCAAACAGG